UACAGAGGUCUCAAGCGUUGUUCGGAUUCAUUGGGCGUAAAGGGUGUGUAGGUGGCGCGCUAAGUCGGGUGUGAAAUUUCGGAGCUUAACUCCGAAACUGCAUUCGAUACUGGCGUGCUUGAGGACUGGAGAGGAGACUGGAAUUCAUGGUGUAGCAGUGAAAUGCGUAGAGAUCAUGAGGAAGACCAGUGGCGAAGGCGGGUCUCUGGACAGUUCCUGACACUGAGACACGAAAGCUAGGGGAGCAAAUGGG
rnacentral:rRNA from 1 species